CAGCUUGGAGAAACUUGGAGUGGAUCAGCAUUCUGCUUUGAGCUUCCAACUUGGUUACAGUCACCCCUAAUUCUGAGGAGGUUUCUGCUGCAAUACUGUGAUAAAAGAAAUCACACUCUUAACUGACUUCGAGCUGUACAGUCAAUUCCUCGGCCCUCAAGUAUUUGCAGUGACUGGAACUCACAUGUGAGAAUAUCAAUGGAAGGCAACAGGAAUUUUGGAUGAAAAGGAGUUUUAUGGAUCACAGUAUUGGACUGGAAGAUUAAAGAUGUUUAAAGGCUUCCAUCUGGGGUCCCUAACUUCAUGGCAGAUAUAAAGGGAAAUCCACCAAAGAAAGAUGGAAAGAAACUUCCU